AAGAAUUGUAGUAACGGUCCCAACCUUUUUCAAUUUUUUAGACUUUAUCCUAAUUUUGAAUUAGUGACAACGAAGACUCCUAACAUUUCAUAAAUAUACAGCUAAGGUCCAAAUAGAUAGAUUCAUUUGAUCAUUAAUGGACCAAGAUUUUACAAAAAUAUGAUAUUUUGACCAUUUCAAAUAGAAGAAUUUUCAUUCAUACCAAAUUAUCCCUUUGAUUUAAAAGCAACAAUUAAACUAUAAAAAAAAUAAAAAAUAAAAAAAAAUCCUGCUCUUCCUCCCAAACCAAAGAAUAAUCCAAUCAUCAAACAUUUCUCCACCGAAAUUGUCGCCGUCCCUGCCUUCUUCGCGGGGCUACCAUCACCUUCCUCUACCAUCCUAUCAUCAACCAUCGAAGCCCCUGAAAACCCAACCCAUCAUUAAAAAAUUCGAAAUCCUAAAAAUUCAACCCAUCUCUAUCUUUUGAUUUGAUGAUGUUUUACCAUGUACAUGCUCACAUAGAGUGGGCGAGACAACCAGGGGGGAUUAAGCCAUGCGACUCCUUUGGAUUUUCAAUUUCAUUUUUAUCUUCUUGUGUUGUUUGUCCAAUUAAUUGUGUGAGAUGUGUAUGCGGAUUGAGACUGUCAGCUAGGGAAGAAAUUUUGACAGCUUGGUGACCGGUGGUUUUUUUGGAUUGGGUGGCCGUCGGAAUUGCUGCAAUUUUCCCCAAUGGAAAAGCCGAGUUUGAUGGUGAUAGUUUUGGUUUGAUUGUGGUGGUGGUGAUUUACGAUUUACGAUGAGAUAGGUGGUUAUGGUCGAUUGAUCAGCCAAUGGAGGUGAGUUCUCCGGGUUUGGUUUUGGAGUGGGGUUGGAAGGUGGGAGUAGUGAGGUGAAGAAGAUAACCUUUUGUUGUUUUUUAUUUUUUUAUUUUUUAUUUAGUUAUCCUUAGGGUCUAUUUGAUUACAAAGAUGGAAUUUGAAUGAAAAGAAAAUGAAUUCCAAGGAGUUGAAUUGCCUAGAAAUCGUUUUCCUGUGAAUUGUAAAUUUGUUGUGUUUGAUUAGUAUAAUUUUUCACAUUGAAAAUGUUAAAAUAAAAGUGUCUUUUGGUAUUCGUUCGAUUUUGUUUUACAUAAAAUUUACUAGUAUUGA
rnacentral:lncRNA from 1 species